rnacentral:rRNA from 1 species
CUAAGAUGCGUGAAGUACGCACCGGCAGUCGAGCGGUAGCUCAGAGAGCUGGCUCUCGGGUGACGAGCGGCGGACGGGUGAGUAAUGUCUGGGAAACUGCCUGAUGGAGGGGGAUAACUACUGGAAACAAGGAUGAACUAAUACCCGGCAUAAAAUUUCGCAAACGACAAAAAGUCGGGGGGACCUUUCGGGCCUUUCAAGCCCAUCAAAAAUGUGCCCCAAGAUGGGGAUUAAGCUAGUUAAGGGGGGGUAAAGGCUCUAACCUACGGCGGACCGAUCCCUUAGCUGUGUCUUGAGAGGGAUGACCCAGCCCACACGGGAAAUUGAGACCACGGUCCAAGACUCCUACGGGGAGGAAGCAGUGGGGAAUAUUGCACAAUGGGCGGCAAGCCUGAUGCAGCCAUGCCGCUGUGUGUGAAGAAGGCCUUCGGGGUUGUAAAGCACUUUCAGCGGGGAGGAAGGGCGAUAAGGUUAAUAACCUUGUCGAUUGACGUUACCCGCAGAAGAAGCACCGGCUAACUCCGUGCCAGCAGCCGCGGUAAUACGGAGGGUGCAAGCGUUAAUCGGAAUUACUGGGCGUAAAGCGCACGCAGGCGGUCUGUCAAGUCGGAUGUGAAAUCCCCGGGCUCAACCUGGGAACUGCAUUCGAAACUGGCAGGCUAGAGUCUUGUAGAGGGGGGUAGAAUUCCAGGUGUAGCGGUGAAAUGCGUAGAGAUCUGGAGGAAUACCGGUGGCGAAGGCGGCCCCCUGGACAAAGACUGACGCUCAGGUGCGAAAGCGUGGGGAGCAAACAGGAUUAGAUACCCUGGUAGUCCACGCCGUAAACGAUGUCGAUUUGGAGGUUGUGCCCUUGAGGCGUGGCUUCCGGAGCUAACGCGUUAAAUCGACCGCCUGGGGAGUACGGCCGCAAGGUUAAAACUCAAAUGAAUUGACCGGGGCCCGCACAAACGGUGGAGCAUGUGGUUUAAUUCGAUGCAACGCAAAAAACCUUACCUGGUCUUGACAUCCACAGAACUUUCCAGAGAUGGAUUGGUGCCUUCCGGAACUGUGAAACAGGUGCUGCAUGGCUGUCGUCAACUCCUGUUGUGAAAUGUUGGGUUUAAGUCCCCCAACCAAGCGCAACCCUUUAUCCUUUGUUUGCCAGCGGUUCAGGCCCGGGAACUCCAAAGGAAAACUGCCCAGUCAUUAAACUUGGACGAAAGAGUGGGGGAUGAACGUCCAAGUCAUCAUUGGCCCCUUUACGAACCAGGGCGUACACCACCUGCCUACAAAUGGGCAUAGUACGGAAAGAAAAAACGAACCUUCCUC